AGUUCUCUUUCCAAAAGAAAGGAAAAUUGACAACUGAGAGGAACCUAUUUUCAGAUAAGUAAAUCAUGUUUGUUAUAACUAAAGCUUCCUUUUUAACCUAUCUAGGUAUAAAGAUGUCUAUAUGUGUAUUUGUGGAUACAUAUGUAGUCUCUGUCUAUCUAUUAUCCUGAAUUAAAUCGCAAUCUUAGUAAAAGCAACAGAAUACAUUCUGGCUAGUUUAAGCAGAAAUACUCUUUUAGAAAGGAUAUUGAAAGAUACAAGGUAGCUCGGAGGGUCAGUAUUAGAGAUGAUGCAGUCAGGAGUAAGAUGGAAACCACACUACAGUGGCUUCCCUAGUGAAAACACCACAGCUCACACCAAUAGGGAUGGACAUAUGAUGCCAGGAACCUUACGAUGGCUGCCCUUUAAAUGUGGAAUGUUUCCACACUCACCUCACCAGUGGCUCACCAAUGACUCCAUUCUUUGCUGUACCUGAACUUCAUUUUCCUCACUUCUAAAUAAGAGUUUUGCCUAGAUAGAACUGAGGCAAGGUUAUCUGAACUGCAAGGAAGGCUGCAAGGGUGACUUGAGGAAGAGGGGAUUACAAUGCAGAAAUUCUCUGAACAGGAAGAGUGAUUCAGAGGCUGUGUGACUGCAAUAGGACUAAUGUUGACUUCAGUCUACCCCUUGACUGUAAUACACAAACCACUCCCUUCCAUACUUACAUUUCCCAACACUUAAUUUGAAGAGCCAUAUCCAUCCCCUAACAAGAAUCAGGAUUUGAUUACAACUCCUUCCCCUAAAUCCACACUUGUUCACCCUUUCCCCUUUCUUUUCUACCAUUAAAUGACCACAUGGCUCUAUCCUUUUGUAAGUUUGCCAACUCCUCAUCCAAAAGGCUGUUAUUGUUCCUAUUGCUAUUAUACUGAGCUCUGGGAGGGAUGGAGGAAGGAAAGUUGAAGGAGAUAAUUAAUAUUAAUCAGGAAAUUCUCUGAAGGCAGGGAAUUGUCAAGACAGAACUGAAAACAAAUAUUAUGUCCUGUUGUGUUCUUUUCACAAUAGCUAUUCCAUUGUUGGAGGUUUCCUUUCAAUGUUUGACCUCAUUAUACACCUCUUUCCCCAGGUACAUCCUUCCUUGGAAAAAAGGUCCCAGUUGUAACUUGAGAUUGCUGCACCUGUCUUGAAUCUCUCCCAGAGCUUCGUUGGGCUCCAGGCUUUCCCUGACCUCAGUGACCUGGUAGAAAAUCAUCUUCUCUCCAUAGGAGGAAGCUAAUGAUCUCUAUUUUUGUCCUUACGUCAAGGAUGACUCACACUAGAAUCUUUGUCUUAUUCAAGAUUCUCCAGGGAAAUAGAACAAAUAAGGGAUAUGUGUACAACAGUCUCUCGUGAUGCAGCCCCAGCUGCCAGGCAGCCACACGAUCAUGAUAUUUACAUCAGCAAUCCUACUCAUGAAGGACAAGCAAAUAUUUCCUUACAUCAAGCGGCAGAGAGAACUCGGACUUCCCCACCCCUCACAUUCACUUUCUCAAGGCUCUUGGAUGAAAGAUGGUCUAGAAUGAGUCAGGCUGUUGCCUUAUCUGCUGGGACCAGUGGGCUUCCAAAACCCCCCAUGGAUGGAUCCAGAUGGAGACUUGAGGCCAUGGCGUAAGAGUGGGUUAUCUAGGUCAACUGAGAACUCUGGUGAUGGUGAGCAUUAAGCAGGUGAGCCAGGGGUCCUCUAUGAUGAAGCCAAGUGGUGCCUGAGUUUGCUAAGA